CCUACGGGAGGCAGCAGUGAGGAAUAUUGGUCAAUGGGCGUAAGCCUGAACCAGCCAAGUCGCGUGAGGGAUGAAUGUUCUAUGGAUCGUAAACCUCUUUUAUAAGGGAAUAAAGUGCGGGACGUGUCCCUUUUUGUAUGUACCUUAUGAAUAAGGAUCGGCUAACUCCGUGCCAGCAGCCGCGGUAAUACGGAGGAUCCGAGCGUUAUCCGGAUUUAUUGGGUUUAAAGGGUGCGUAGGCGGCCUUUUAAGUCAGCGGUGAAAGUUUGUGGCUCAACCAUAGAAUUGCCGUUGAUACUGGGAGGCUUGAGUACGGUUGAGGCAGGCGGAAGGCGUGGUGUAGCGGUGAAAUGCUUAGAUAUCACGCAGAACCCCGAUUGCGAAGGCAGCCUGCCAAGCCAUGACUGACGCUGAUGCACGAAAGCGUGGGGAUCAAACAGGAUUAGAUACCCGAGUAGUC
rnacentral:rRNA from 1 species